rnacentral:misc_RNA from 8 species
UAUCGAACCGUUUUAGAAACAUCAGUGGCCAACGAUCGUCAGGAUUGUUGAGCUGCAUUGGCGGGAUUUCGCCGUCUUCGUUUCUCUUUCUUCGCGGACGAACACGCGCUGGGGCUGCAAGCUUGCAGAAUCCCUGGUCCUUGACUGGAUAUGCGUUAGGGGCUUGUAGCUCAGUUGGUUAGAGCGCGCGCUUGAUAAGCGUGAGGUCGGAAGUUCAAGUCUUCCCAGGCCCACCACACUCAUCGAGUGAGCAUUCGUCUUCUGGUUACGGGGCCAUAGCUCAGCUGGGAGAGCGCGUGCUUUGCAAGCAUGAGGUCGUCGGUUCGAUCCCGUCUGGCUCCACCAGAUGGUUUGAUCAUCGACUGAUCGUGCACCUAAAUCGUCCGCGAAACAUCACUUCGCACUUACUAGUCCGGAUGGACAGUAAGCUGCGUGAUUUCUGACAUCGUAAAGAGGAGAUCGAUCCGAGUUGGAUCGGGCAACAAGCAAUUGUUGCGCGAUACUUCAUUAUCUCCGGAUCAUUUCGGCGCUCGUGCGCCUUUCAAUGUAGCUCACAAGGCUGCGUCUGAGAGGAAUGCGAGUUGUAAAUGAUCCUUUUAGCGAAGCUUGACCGCCUCGCUAUCGGAACGAUCUUACGAAGCAAGCUGGUCUUUCUAAUCAUUGUCCGGCUGCAGAUAGCGUUCAUCGAGGGCGCGUGCCGCAAGGUAAUUCUGCAGACAACAUUCUGCCGAGUGUGUGGACAUUGAUAAUGAGAGCAAUCAAGUGCCUUAAGGGUGUUCGGUGGAUGCCUUGGCGCUGAGAGGCGAUGAAGGACGUGCUACGCUGCGAUAAGCC